UUUCUGUGCUGGUGUAAUGUACUCAGGUGAAUAUGAUGCUUGUGAUGUUACUCAGAGUAACAUCACAAGCAUCAUAUUCACCUGAGUACAUUACACCAACA
rnacentral:miRNA from 1 species